rnacentral:ncRNA from 1 species
GAAUCGGCAAUGAUAGGAUUUAGUAGUAUUUCGUUUCUUGCUUACAGAGAGCUGAUGGUCGGUGCGAAUCAGUACAGUGCGAAAUAUGAAUUACCCCCUUGAGCUUCUUUUGCGAAACAAUCGGAGUAGUGAAAGACGGUUAUAACCGUUAUUUUUUCGAGUGGUGAAAUGAAACUGUUUCACAAUUUAGGGUGGUACCGCGAUUUUUUUCGUCCCUGCA